AUUACAACAGGUUCCAAUCCCCUCUUUGGCGCUCUUCAAUCGACUGCCUCAAUAUUUGGAGAGUCAAAUGACAUAUGGGUUGAGGGCGAGGGCAUGCUCCAUGCCCUGUACUUCACCAAGAACCCUUCAGCUUCUUGGUCAGUCUCCUAUGCUAAUGGCUAUGUGCAAUCCGAAACAUUGAAGAUUGAACGAGACAGCCAGAAACCAUGCUUUCUCCCUGCCGCCCAGGGGGACUCUGCAGCUGUCAUCUCCGCCUACAUUCUCAACUAUCUAAGGUUUGGCAAGGUGAACAAGAACACCAGCAACACCAAUGUGUUUGAGCAUGCGGGCAAGGUGUACGCUGUUGCUGAGAGUCAUCAGCCCCAGGAAUUCUGCAUACAAAAUCUAGAGACAGGCAAUACAUGGGCUAUCCAUGAGGAAUGGGAUCGACCAUGCACAUCUCACCCAAAGGUAGCUCCAGGGUCAGGGGAGCUUGUCAUCUUUGGUUCAGAUGCAAAGAAGCCUUUCCUAGUUGUUGGGGUUAUCUCAGAUGAUGGAACCAAACUAAAACAUAAAGUUGACCUCGAGCUAGACAGACCUACACUUUGUCAUGACAUAGGAGUCACUAGAAGGUGCAACAUAAUCAUGGAUUUACCACUUACUGUCGACAUCAGCAGACUCACUACAGGUGGUCAGCUAAUCGAAUUUGAGAAGGAAGGUUAUGCAAGAAUUGGGGUUAUGCCCCGCUAUGGCGACGCAGAGUCAGUUGAGUGGUUCGAUGUUGAACCAUGUUGCAUGUUUCAUCUUAUCAACUGCUUUGAGGAGGGUGAUGAGGUUGUUGUCCAGGGACUCUGUUCGGCCGAUUCGGUCAUACCAGGCCCCAGACUAAACAAGCUCGGCGUACUUCCUGAAAGAUCUCAACUUACAGGAGAUGGAAAUAAAAUGAAGCAGGGAAUUAGUGAGAAAUUAUUCUCUCGCUUAUAUGAAUGGAGAUUAAACCGAGAAAAAAAGACUGUCUCAGGAGAAUAUUUGACCGGAAGGGAGUGCUCCUUGGAAUUCCCAAUGAUCAACAACAACUACACAGGCGUGCGUCAUAGUUAUGCCUAUGCACAAAUAGUGGAUUCUAUAACAAGAUCUGGAGAAGGAUGUGGAAAAGUACUCCCAAAAUAUGGAGGGUUUGCAAAAUUAUGCCUCAACGAGAGAGGCAAAAUAACAGAGACCUCAGCCAAAGAUCUGAUAAAGACGGAAAUCCAUCGACUGGGUGAAGAUCAGUUCUGCUCUGGAUCAUCAUUUGUUCCAAGAGUUCAUGGCUUGCAUGAAGAUGAUGGGUGGAUAAUUUCUUUUGUACAUGACGAAGUAACAAAUACAUCACAGGUGCACAUUAUUGACACCCAAAGAUUUGAAGGUGCUCCUGUUGCCAAAAUAACAUUGCCACACAGAGUUCCUUAUGGCUUUCAUGGAACUUUCAUCCAUAGCAACACAGCUGAGAAAGAGAAUAAUGAACAAGCUAGAAACUCGACAUCUUAG
rnacentral:rRNA from 1 species